rnacentral:misc_RNA from 1 species
GAUGAAGAACGCAGCGAAAUGCGAUAAGUAGUGUGAAUUGCAGAAUUCAGUGAAUCAUCGAAUCUUUGAACGCACAUUGCGCCCCUUGGUAUUCCAUGGGGCAUGCCUGUUCGAGCGUCAUUUGUCCCUUCAAGCUUUGCUUGGUGUUGGGUGUUUGUCUCGCCUUUGCGUGUAGACUCGCCUUAAAAUAAUUGGCAGCCGGCGUAUUGAUUUCGGAGCGCAGUACAUCUCGCGCUUUGCACUCAUAACGACAGCGUCCAAAAGUACAUUUUACACUCUUGACCUCGGAUCAGGUAGGGAUACCCGCUGAACUUAAGCAUAUCAAUAAGCGGAGGA